rnacentral:rRNA from 1 species
AAGUGGAGCAAUCCAUGAGUAAAGUGGCGACCGGGUGAGUAACACGUGACUAACCUACCUUGGAGUGGGGGAUAACCUAGGGAAACCUGGGCUAAUACCGCAUAACAUCUUUGGAGUGGAAACUCUGGAGAUCAAAGGGGCAAUUCGCUUGAAGAGGGGGUCGCGGCUGAUUAGCUAGUUGGCGGGGUAAUGGCCCACCAAGGCUUUGAUCGGUAGCCGGCCUGAGAGGGCGCACGUCCUCACUGGAACUGAAACACGGUCCAGACUCCUUCGGGAGGCAGCAGUGGGGAAUUUUGCGCAAUGGGGGAAACCCUGACGCAGCAACUCCGCGUGGAGGAUGAAGUCCCUUGGG